rnacentral:rRNA from 1 species
GAUUUCUGACUUCGAAUGGCCGAUCCUUGGCUUCGGUCUUGUGAUUGUCACCAUUCGUGUCAUCCUUCCGAUAAGUAUGUAUGCACUUCACUGUGCGUACAUGCGCUAUCGGAUCUUUUACUUUGAAAAAAUUAGAGUGUUCAAAGCAGGCUUACCGCUGUGAAUACAUUAGCAUGGAAUAAUAAGAUAGGACUUUGGUUCUAUUUUGUUGGUUUCUAGAACUGAAGUAAUGAUUGAUAGGGAUAGUUGGGGGUGCUAGUAUUCAGCGGCCAGAGGUGAAAUUCUAUGAUUCGCUGAAGACUAACUUAUGCGAAAGCAUU